GGGAAAUUAUUAGGCUCCUACACAUUUGCGUUGACGAUUCAAAGCAUGAUUUUUAGAUUCAUUUUCCUACAUUUUCCACCUAUAGACCAUUGAUUCAUGCUAUGGCUGCCCCACUGUGAUACGGACUCCAAGUUCUUAUGGCGGAGCACGAGGAGAUUUACCAUCAAUAUGAUGAUGGGAAUGGAAACCAGAAGCCCGACCGGGGUCUUCGUGGUCCAGGAUAAUUAAACCAUCAAUAACCGUAACGUAAGCAUGAGACUUUUUGGUAGUGCUAGUGAACCAGACGGCCGCGGCGAUAGAAUCUGAGACGGAGGACUCGUAGUAUCUCUCUAGAUCUGGCAAAAGCGAAAGACCCCCUAAAGUAAUUCGAAUGGGGGCUGACCGCUGAGCCCACUCUGGCCUCGCAUGGCGGGUCCCCGUCCCGUGGUUGCGAGCUGGAGCAGCCAUAGCUUAUGGCUCGAGCAAUAGUGGGCCGCAGCAGAGAGAACAGUCAGGAUAACAA
rnacentral:lncRNA from 1 species